UAGGGAAUCUUCCGCAAUGGGCGAAAGCCUGACGGAGCAACGCCGCGUGAGUGAAGAAGGAUUUCGGUUCGUAAAGCUCUGUUGUUAGGGAAGAAUGAUUGUGUAGUAACUAUACACAGUAGAGACGGUACCUAACCAGAAAGCCACGGCUAACUACGUGCCAGCAGCCGCGGUAAUACGUAGGUGGCAAGCGUUGUCCGGAAUUAUUGGGCGUAAAGCGCGCGCAGGUGGUUUAAUAAGUCUGAUGUGAAAGCCCACGGCUCAACCGUGGAGGGUCAUUGGAAACUGUUAAACUUGAGUGCAGGAGAGAAAAGUGGAAUUCCUAGUGUAGCGGUGAAAUGCGUAGAGAUUAGGAGGAACACCAGUGGCGAAGGCGGCUUUUUGGCCUGUAACUGACACUGGGGCGCGAAAGCGUGGGGAGCAAACAGGAUUAGAUACCCUGGUAGUCCACGCCGUAAACGAUGAGUGCUAAGUGUUGGUCUCAUAAGAGAUCAGUGCUGCAGCUAACGCAUUAAGCACUCCGCCUGGGGAGUACGACCGCAAGGUUG
rnacentral:rRNA from 1 species